GACGCUUGGCCCGAUGGAGUGGCUUUCCCAGGACAAGAAAACUCACUCGAUAUUAUCAACUUUCCGUGUGGACCCCUCUGUCGGAGCAGUUCUGUAAGUGAGAAGCGAUGGCGCCACUGGGCAUUUUACCUGCUUCUCCCCAGGCUCCUCUCCACGCACAGGCCCAGGUGAUCUGCAGGUGCCCUACAGCCACGCUGCUCUCUGUGUGAAGUCUCCAGCCUUCCUGUUGCUCAGCCUUCCAGCUCAACCCUGCCUCUGGACCUGUGUGGCUACGAUCUCCUGUCCUUAGAAAUUCGGGUCUCAGCUCCCAGGUCACCUCCUCAGAUGCCCUCGCUGACCACUAGGGCCCGACUCUCUCCCUGGGCUUCAGAUCCGCCUGCUUCAUUUGGCUCACGGCACUUACCAUUUCAUGAGUCAUAUGCAGUCUGCCUGCUGCGUGAGAUCAGGCACACGUCACUUGAGUUCACCUCUAUGGCCGAGUGCCUAGAACAGGGCCUCAUACAAAAAGAAAGGCUCAAGAGGCCCUAGGUAAAUGAGUGAAUGAAGGCUCAACCAGCCAACUAACCAGCCAGCCAAAAUUAAGACUGAAAAUGAACAGUCUUCUGCUUUUGUAUUCAGGUGGCUAUUUUAAAUUUUUUCCUGAAAACUACGUGGAAGAAAUGGUUGUUUACUCUGAGCAGUGAUCUGUGCAGUGAUUAGGUAACUUUGAUAUCUGUGCUAUUUUACUUCAUAAGGCCAAAGUCUAUUGCCAUGCAUUUCUAAAUACCAUAAUAAUGUUUCUUUUUAAUAUAUGGACUUGCUUCCACUGACUCCAGCGCUGUGGCAUCGUCUGUAUUAACAAGCAAAGCCACGGGGCCCGGGUUUACAAUGUAAGUUAGGGUUGGAGCAAUCCUGUCUUCAGAAUAACAGUAUGAGGUUCCUUGCUUAAUACACAGGGGGGAAUCCAUCAGAAGGGGGUGAUGCUGCAGUGUCUUGGUACCAGGAUUCCAAGGGCUUUCCAGGUAUGUUCAGUAUGUAAUUCACAGCAGACUUGUGUCUGUCUUACGCCGACCCCAUUGCAGCUGCUAGGGAUCCCAGAUGGAGGAGACACUAUUGCUCAGCGACUAGGAAGAGCUGGUAGUGGUUCCAGAACCCACCUGCUCAUUGGCAUCUCAUGGCAUCCACCUCUGUCUAGGCCCUGUCCCAGGCCAUUGGAAUCAGAAUCUCGGA
rnacentral:lncRNA from 1 species